UUUAAACACGAAAACUCUCACAGCACGUGGAACACAUCUGCGUGUGUGCCCAUUGCCAGCUCUGCUGCUCCUUUACUUAAGGUAGACCUGACAUCAGCAGCAGAUGGUCAUUAUCAGGUUUCUUAUCUCAUCCUUGUUGCCCCGAAACAUAAUUUCUCCCAUCCUUCAGGCUGUGCUAAUGAGGUUGAUGUUACAGGCUGGACUUUGUGGAUAAUCUGGUGGACUUCACUGUCUUUCCUGGUCAUAAAUGCUGUUUUCGUGCUUGUUCUUCUGUUUCAUCUGUUUAUUGACAUUCAGCCUCCACCAAACACAGGUUUCAGGGACAUGGAUGAAUCUGGAGAACGUCAUCCUCAGCAAACUGACACAAGAACAGAAAAUGAAACACCGCAUAUUCUCACUCAUAGGUGGGUGAUGAAAAAUGAGAACACAUGGACACAGAAAGGGGAGUACUAAACACUGGGGUCUAUUGGGGGGAAAAGGGGAGGGCCAGUGGGAGGGGGAAGCUGGGGAGGGAUAGUCUGGGGAGAAAUGCCAAAUGUGGGUGAAGGGGAGAAGGAAAGAAAAGCACACUGCCAUGUGUGUUCCUACACAACUGUCUCGCAUGCUCUGCUCAUGUACCCCAAAACCUAAAAUCCAAUAAAAAAUUAAAAAAAAAAUGGCUGGAAAUUCUU
rnacentral:lncRNA from 13 species